GAUGAAUGGACCGAUCCAGCACUCUCUGCUCGUCGCCUCAUGACACCUUUCUUCUCGAGUCUAGUUCAUUUUCCGAAUACUUUGUAUAUAGGCAGAACUUCCACCUCAUCAAAAAUGAUUCCAAACGGAUCGAAUGAUACUGAUGAUUAUUUUUACAGUGGAGCUAAGUGGGUCGAUCGGGUCAAUGGAGGCAGAGUCUGUGGCACGAGGAAUGUCUUUGGCAUGUCUAGGCUCAUCUCCACUUUCAACCACUUUGCAGUCUUCAUCUUGCCGUAACCUGCUUCUCCGUUUUAAACUCAGCUGUCUCCCGCUACUGCCCGUCUAUCACUCCUUUGACCACGGUGACAUGCGAUGAGGGUUGGCGGCAGAUCUACAACAGUUGGAGGAGAAAAAAAAAAAAAGAUGCAACGCCUGAUCAGCAAUCGAAAUCUCCACAAUGAUGAUAUUGUGACUUAUAUGUUGCAAAAUUGAGUGACUCCACCAAGAUAACUCAUUACCUCGUAGGAGUGGAAGUGUCCGGUUGGUUGGGGUGAGAUCAUUCUGAGACAUUGCCUCCAUCAUCCAGGAGCUGCAAACGGCGAUUGAGGUCACGGUUCUCCGCCGUGUGCUUCAGCACACUGUCCACCCUACACACACAGACACAUGAAUGCACGUACACACAUAUACGUGCACACACACACACUUUUAAUGGAAAUACUUACUUAUCAGAUGUACGUUUAAGCCGCUCUGUGUCACUCUCUCUUUGUUGUUUAUUCUGAAGAGAGAGGAGGUCUUCUUUCUGGAUGGCCUCCCACAUACUAAGUCGGCUGGACUUGAUGUCUUCCAGCGUCAAAGCUGAUAUAAUAUAAUGUCAUAUGUGUUAGACAAUACGGUAAAAUUUGGGGGUGAGGUUAUUUUUUUUUCUGAAAAUGUAAUCAGUGUGUUUGGUGCUGUUCUCACCAAAAUGUUUUUUCUUUUCUGAGGGUAUGCGGCGGAUGUAUCGCUUGAUGAAAACAUUCAGAUGUGAAAUGAUGAUAAACGGCGGGGCCAGGCAAGGCCUGGCGUGGUACUCCACAAUUAGGCUGUAACGCUGAAAUUUCCAGUAGAUAUCACUGCGCUCCUGAACUAGGUUAAAAGUGUAACUGGGAGGGGAGAAAAAGAAAAGCAAACAAUGUCGUUUGAAGCGAGUAAACACAUUCAUUAGUCCUCUUUUUACCGAUGCAUUCAUUCUGAGUGUACCUGAAAAUGGCAAUGAGGAGAUUAAUCAAGAGGAUGUUGGUCACCAGCAGAUAGACAGUCUGGAGAAGUAUCACCAGCCAGUUGGCGUAUGUGUUCAUGCAUGGUUCCGCUCCUGCUUGAAUUAGUGUUCUGUUGUUGGUACAGUUGGGUUGUUGAAAUAGUUCAGCUGCAUGAGAAAUAGACAAAGUACGAUGUGAGCAUUUGUCCUGAAUAAAGACGAUCGGAUCCAUUUUUAA